GAGAGGCUCAUGCCCGACUGCUGUACUCCUAUAUCUGAUCUGCUAAAGAAAGCACAGGGCUGGAUCAGCUUGUCAGACAGCUGGAGUACGAGGCCAGGGGUCAGCCUUGUGGUGCUGACAGGCAAGUUCUCACUGUUCCGCCUGCCAGAGCUGGCCAGGUUCUCCCAGCUUCCCAGGCUCAUACCAGAAACAUGUGCAGCACUUCAAGUCCCAAGUACCCUGCCUGCCCCCUGCAAAAGUGGGACAGUCUCUCCAGAUACGUUUACACUGACUUGGCCAUGAUUUAUAUGUUUGCUUUAUAAGGACUCAAUAAAGUAUGCUUUGUUUAAUGUACAGUA